rnacentral:rRNA from 1 species
UGGGGAAUAUUGCACAAUGGGCGCAAGCCUGAUGCAGCCAUGCCGCGUGUGUGAAGAAGGCCUUCGGGUUGUAAAGCACUUUCAGCGAGGAGGAAGGUGGUGAGCUUAAUACGCUCAUCAAUUGACGUUACUCGCAGAAGAAGCACCGGCUAACUCCGUGCCAGCAGCCGCGGUAAUACGGAGGGUGCAAGCGUUAAUCGGAAUUACUGGGCGUAAAGCGCACGCAGGCGGUUUGUUAAGUCAGAUGUGAAAUCCCCGGGCUCAACCUGGGAACUGCAUUUGAAACUGGCAAGCUAGAGUCUCGUAGAGGGGGGUAGAAUUCCAGGUGUAGCGGUGAAAUGCGUAGAGAUCUGGAGGAAUACCGGUGGCGAAGGCGGCCCCCUGGACGAAGACUGACGCUCAGGUGCGAAAGCGUGGGGCAGCAAACAGGAUUAGAUACCCUGGUAGUCCACGCUGUAAACGAUGUCGAUUUUGGAGGUUGUGCCCUUGAGGCGUGGCUUCCGAGCUAACGCGUUAAAUCGACCGCCUGGGGGAGUAC